AUGACAAUGAAGAAAGUGAUAUAAUUUUUAGUGGCAAUGAGAGAAUUUGCUCCCUUUCAAAAAGGAAGUCUCUGUUCAGUUGUACAGGAUCAAGCCGUCCUGGCCCAACAGCUUGUAAUCUUCUUUUGUUGUUUUGGUUUAGUUUAGCUUUUUUUAGCUCUUUUUUGUUUUCUCUCUUGUUUUCUUCUUUCUUUGUGUGAGUUUCAGGGGUGUGGUAUUCUCUGUUUUGGUCUCUAGUUUUAUAGUUCGUUGGUGUCGGGGCAUGUUUUCCCACGGUUUUUUUUCCUAAAAAACACAUCGAUAAAAAAGUUAUGGAACUUGAUAUAAUGUGUUAAAAGGUUACAAAAGUCGAUAUUUAGUCAUAGAAACAUGUGGGUAGUAUCAAAAAAGCUACAAAGUUAUAUGUGCUUUCAAUGGAAAGAAAAAAAAUACCAAGGUGUAAAAUAAUUUGACACAAGUUUAAUAGGCAUUAUUAUUUAUUGAUAACAUUAACUUAUAUUAUGGAUGUGAUGGUCACCAUAAAAUAAAUUAUAAAAGCAUAAAACAUAAGU
rnacentral:lncRNA from 1 species